AUACAUGCAAGUCGAACGAGCUUCCGUUGAAUGACGUGCUUGCACUGAUUUCAACAAUGAAGCGAGUGGCGAACUGGUGAGUAACACGUGGGAAAUCUGCCCAGAAGCAGGGGAUAACACUUGGAAACAGGUGCUAAUACCGUAUAACAACAAAAUCCGCAUGGAUUUUGUUUGAAAGGUGGCUUCGGCUAUCACUUCUGGAUGAUCCCGCGGCGUAUUAGUUAGUUGGUGAGGUAAAGGCCCACCAAGACGAUGAUACGUAGCCGACCUGAGAGGGUAAUCGGCCACAUUGGGACUGAGACACGGCCCAAACUCCUACGGGAGGCAGCAGUAGGGAAUCUUCCACAAUGGACGAAAGUCUGAUGGAGCAAUGCCGCGUGAGUGAAGAAGGGUUUCGGCUCGUAAAACUCUGUUGUUAAAGAAGAACACCUUUGAGAGUAACUGUUCAAGGGUUGACGGUAUUUAACCAGAAAGCCACGGCUAACUACGUGCCAGCAGCCGCGGUAAUACGUAGGUGGCAAGCGUUGUCCGGAUUUAUUGGGCGUAAAGCGAGCGCAGGCGGUUUUUUAAGUCUGAUGUGAAAGCCUUCGGCUUAACCGGAGAAGUGCAUCGGAAACUGGGAGACUUGAGUGCAGAAGAGGACAGUGGAACUCCAUGUGUAGCGGUGGAAUGCGUAGAUAUAUGGAAGAACACCAGUGGCGAAGGCGGCUGUCUAGUCUGUAACUGACGCUGAGGCUCGAAAGCAUGGGUAGCGAACAGGAUUAGAUACCCUGGUAGUCCAUGCCGUAAACGAUGAGUGCUAAGUGUUGGAGGGUUUCCGCCCUUCAGUGCUGCAGCUAACGCAUUAAGCACUCCGCCUGGGGAGUACGACCGCAAGGUUGAAACUCAAAGG
rnacentral:rRNA from 2 species